rnacentral:rRNA from 1 species
CACGCUAUAAACGAUGAGCACUAGGUGUCGGGGUCGCAAGAUUUCGGUGCCGCAGUUAACGCAUUAAGUGCUCCGCCUGGGGAGUACGCACGCAAGUGUGAAACUCAAAGGAAUUGACGGGGACCCGCACAAGCAGCGGAGCAUGUGGUUUAAUUCGAAGCAACGCGAAGAACCUUACCAGGGCUUGACAUCCCUCUGACCGCUUCUUAAUCGAAGCUUCCCUUCGGGGCAGAGGUGACAGGUGG